GAGGAAAAGAAAUCAACCGAGAUUCCCCCAGUAGCGGCGAGCGAACGGGGAGCAGCCCAGAGCCUGAAUCAGUGUGUGUGUUAGUGGAAGCGUCUGGAAAGGCGCGCGAUACAGGGUGACAGCCCCGUACACAAAAAUGCACAUGCUGUGAGCUCGAUGAGUAGGGCGGGACACGUGGUAUCCUGUCUGAAUAUGGGGGGACCAUCCUCCAAGGCUAAAUACUCCUGACUGACCGAUAGUGAACCAGUACCGUGAGGGAAAGGCGAAAAGAACCCCGGCGAGGGGAGUGAAAAAGAACCUGAAACCGUGUACGUACAAGCAGUGGGAGCACGCUUAGGCGUGUGACUGCGUACCUUUUGUAUAAUGGGUCAGCGACUUAUAUUCUGUAGCAAGGUUAACCGAAUAGGGGAGCCGAAGGGAAACCGAGUCUUAACUGGGCGUUAAGUUGCAGGGUAUAGACCCGAAACCCGGUGAUCUAGCCAUGGGCAGGUUGAAGGUUGGGUAACACUAACUGGAGGACCGAACCGACUAAUGUUGAAAAAUUAGCGGAUGACUUGUGGCUGGGGGUGAAAGGCCAAUCAAACCGGGAGAUAGCUGGUUCUCCCCGAAAGCUAUUUAGGUAGCGCCUCGUGAAUUCAUCUCCGGGGGUAGAGCACUGUUUCGGCAAGGGGGUCAUCCCGACUUACCAACCCGAUGCAAACUGCGAAUACCGGAGAAUGUUAUCACGGGAGACACACGGCGGGUGCUAACGUCCGUCGUGAAGAGGGAAACAACCCAGACCGCCAGCUAAGGUCCCAAAGUCAUGGUUAAGUGGGAAACGAUGUGGGAAGGCCCAGACAGCCAGGAUGUUGGCUUAGAAGCAGCCAUCAUUUAAAGAAAGCGUAAUAGCUCACUGGUCGAGUCGGCCUGCGCGGAAGAUGUAACGGGGCUAAACCAUGCACCGAAGCUGCGGCAGCGACACUAUGUGUUGUUGGGUAGGGGAGCGUUCUGUAAGCCUGUGAAGGUGUGCUGUGAGGCAUGCUGGAGGUAUCAG
rnacentral:rRNA from 1 species